AUUGAACGCUGGCGGCAUGCCUUACACAUGCAAGUCGAACGGCAGCAUGGAGAGCUUGCUCUCUGAUGGCGAGUGGCGAACGGGUGAGUAAAGCAUCGGAACGUACCGUGUAAUGGGGGAUAACGUAGCGAAAGUUACGCUAAUACCGCAUACGACCUGAGGGUGAAAGAAGGGGAUCGCAAGACCUUGCGUUAUACGAGCGGCCGAUGUCAGAUUAGCUAGUUGGUAGGGUAAAGGCCUACCAAGGCGACGAUCUGUAGCGGGUCUGAGAGGAUGAUCCGCCACACUGGGACUGAGACACGGCCCAGACUCCUACGGGAGGCAGCAGUGGGGAAUUUUGGACAAUGGGGGCAACCCUGAUCCAGCCAUGCCGCGUGAGUGAAGAAGGCCUUCGGGUUGUAAAGCUCUUUCGGCCGGGAAGAAAUCGCACAGGCUAAUACUCUGUGUGGAUGACGGUACCGGCAUAAGAAGCACCGACUAACUACGUGCCAGCCGCCGCAGUAA
rnacentral:rRNA from 1 species